GACGAACGCUGGCGGCGUGCCUAACACAUGCAAGUCGAGCGGAGUCAGUAAGAGGAAGUUUUCGGAUGGAAUCUUGCUGGUUUAGCGGCGGACGGGUGAGUAACGCGUGAGCGACCAACCUUGCACAGGGGGAUAACGGACCGAAAGGUUCACUAAUACCGCAUGAGACCACGGUGUUGCAUGACACAGGGGUCAAAGGAGCAAUCCGGUGCAAGACGGGCUCGCGUCCGAUUAGGUAGUGGGAGGGGUAACGGCCCACCAAGCCUAUGAUCGGUAGCCGACAUGAGAGGGUGAUCGGCCACAUUGGAACUGAGAUACGGUCCAAACUCAUACGGGAGGCAGCAGUGGGGAAUAUUGGGCAAUGGGGGAAACCCUGACCCAGCAACGCCGCGUGAAGGAAGAAGGUUUUCGGAUUGUAAACUUCUGUCCUUGGUGAAGAGAAGAAGACGGUAGCCAAGGAGGAAGCCCCGGCUAACUACGUGCCAGCAGCCGCCGUAA
rnacentral:rRNA from 1 species